GUGCCAGACUCCUACGGGAGGCAGCAGUGGGGAAUAUUGCACAAUGGGGGGAACCCUGAUGCAGCGACGCCGCGUGAGGGAAGACGGUUUUCGGAUUGUAAACCUCUGUCUUUAGGGACGAAACAAAUGACGGUACCUAAAGAGGAAGCCACGGCUAACUACGUGCCAGCAGCCGCGGUAAUACGUAGGUGGCAAGCGUUGUCCGGAAUUACUGGGUGUAAAGGGAGCGUAGGCGGGACUGCAAGUUGGGUGUCAAAUCUACCGGCUCAACCGGUAGCCGCACUCAAAACUGCAGUUCUUGAGUGAAGUAGAGGCAGGCGGAAUUCCUAGUGUAGCGGUGAAAUGCGUAGAUAUUAGGAGGAACACCAGUGGCGAAGGCGGCCUGCUAGGCUUUUACUGACGCUGAGGCUCGAAAGUGUGGGGAGCAAACAGGAUUAGAUACCCGCGUA
rnacentral:rRNA from 1 species